AGCGAACGUUAGCGGCGGGCCUAACACAUGCAAGUCGAACGCGAAAGGUCUUCGGACUGAUUAGAGUGGCGCACGGGUGAGUAACACGUAGGUAAUCUACCCUUUGGCGGGGGAUAACGUUCCGAAAGGAGCGCUAAUACCGCAUAAGACCACGGAGUCUCCGGACGCUGUGGGAAAAGGUGGCCUCUUCUUGAAAGCUAUCACCGGAGGAUGAGCCUGCGUCCCAUCAGCUAGUUGGUAAGGUAAUGGCUUACCAAGGCAAAGACGGGUAGCUGGUUUGAGAGAAUGAUCAGCCACACUGGCACUGGAACACGGGCCAGACUCCUACGGGAGGCAGCAGUGAGGAAUAUUGGGCAAUGGGCGAAAGCCUGACCCAGCCACGCCGCGUGAGUGAUGAAGGCCCUCGGGUCGUAAAGCUCUGUGGAGAGGGACGAAAAACCUGGGGUCUAAUAGGCCCCGGACUUGACGGUACCUCUUUAGCAAGCACCGGCUAACUCUGUGCCAGCAGCCGCGGUAA
rnacentral:rRNA from 1 species